AUUUAAAGUCUGGCCGAUGAAGACUAUCAGAAGAAAGAAAUCAGGAAAUGGUGGCAAGAGUUUUCUUUUCUACCCCCUUGAAAAGACAUGGUUAAAAGACUGAUGUGUGUUAAAAAAAUGGAUUAAAACUUGGAGAUGAAUAAAUACAGUGCCUCAGCUAUAUGGAGCUUAUGCUAUGAGCUGGUAUGUGAGCUUGGACUCAAGCCUAAGUCACUGACUACAUGAUUCAUGCUCAUUACUGAUGCUGGAGAGAAAAAAGAAAUGGAUUCUGCAGCUCAUUGUGCAUUGCCUUAUAGAGGGAGUGGUAUUCCUUGCUUUUGUUUUUAAUGAAAUGGUUUUUAAAAAUACAAUAUAAUAAUUUUCUCAUCUUCAC
rnacentral:lncRNA from 1 species